rnacentral:tRNA from 1 species
GGAGGGGUGGCAGAGCGGUUGAAUGCGACGGUCUUGAAAACCGUUAGCCGUCGAUAGGCGGCUCGAGGGUUCGAAUCCCUCCCCCUCCG